AUAUUUGUAAUGUCAUUUUUCAGGAGUUUUUCGAAACCAAAAUACUCCAGUUUGAUCCCGGUCAACUUACACAAAGUGGAAUGUUUUGUUUCGAACGAUUCUUUAAAACUGUCAACUGUCAUGAGA
rnacentral:precursor_RNA from 10 species